ACGAGUUUGAUCCUGGCUCAGAUCAACGCUGGCGGCGUGCCUCAGACAUGCAAGUCGAACGAUUAAAGCUCUCUUCGGAGAGUGCAUAGAGUGGCGCACGGGUGAGUAACACGUAAGUAAUCUACCUUCGAGUGGGGAAUAACGUCCGGAAACGGACGCUAAUACCGCAUAAUGCAGCGGCAUCGUAAGAUGACAGUUGUUAAAGAUUUAUCGCUUGAAGAGGAGCUUGCGGCAGAUUAGCUAGUUGGUAAGGUAAUGGCUUACCAAGGCUACGAUCUGUAACCGGUCUUAGAGGACGGUCGGUCACACUGACACUGAAUAACGGGUCAGACUCCUACGGGAGGCAGCAGUCGGGAAUUUUGGGCAAUGGGCGAAAGCCUGACCCAGCAACGCCGCGUGAAGGAUGAAGUAUUUCGGUAUGUAAACUUCGAAAGAAUAGGAAGAAUAAAUGACGGUACUAUUUAUAAGGUCCGGCUAACUACGUG
rnacentral:rRNA from 1 species